rnacentral:rRNA from 1 species
UAUGCUUAACACAUGCAAGUCGAACGGCAGCACAGGGAGCUUGCUCCUGGGUGGCGAGUGGCGGACGGGUGAGUAACGCGUGAGGAUCUGCCCUUAGGUGGGGGACAACAGUUGGAAACGACUGCUAAUACCCCAUACGCCGAGAGGUGAAAGAUUAAUUGCCUGAGGAUGAACUCGCGUCUGAUUAGCUAGUUGGUGGGGUAAGGGCCUACCAAGGCGACGAUCAGUAGCUGGUCUGAGAGGACGAUCAGCCACACUGGAACUGAGACACGGUCCAGACUCCUACGGGAGGCAGCAGUGGGGAAUUUUCCGCAAUGGGCGCAAGCCUGACGGAGCAAUACCGCGUGCGGGAGGAAGGCCCUUGGGUCGUAAACCGCUUUUAACAGGGAAGAAUAACUGACGGUACCUGUUGAAUAAGCCUCGGCUAACUCCGUGCCAGCCGCCGCGGUAAAAC